UGCCAUUUGUCCUGACUAGAAGAAUUAUCUU
rnacentral:piRNA from 1 species